CAGUUAUCCAUUUACUAUGAAAUUUUGAAUGAAUCUACGUAAAUUUGAGGGAAUGUUUCCUUAACAAUCAUCUAGAAAAGGAAUGAAGAUGAAGAUAUCACAAAAUAGAUAGAAAUUACUUAAAUAUCGUUAAAUGGGGAAAAUGAGGAAGGAGAUUACAAUGUAGGCAAUUGAACUGCCAUCAACAAGUUUUCAGGUAGUCAACCAACUUAAUUACUAAAAUUCCCCUUUAUACCGUAUAUUUAGUCUUUUCUCAUUUUAAAUGAUAUUCGUUAUCUUUUUUUUUUAACAAGCUUUGUGUUUUAUCUCAAUUCGAAAAUUCGUACUGAUACACAAAUCAUAAAUACACAAAGUUAUUGAAUUAGUCAUGGAAAAAAAGAACAAUUGUUUUUCUCUUUUCUAUCUACCUUUUUUCCUAAACAUUUCUCUGCUUACAAAAAAGCGACUAAAUUAUAAAGUCAUGUUCGAUAAAAUCAAUCAUCCUUAGAAUUGAGUGCUUAGUUGACUCAAAUUCCUUCUCUUGAGCAUCCCUCCAUAGUAGAUACAAACUAAAAUUGCCAUCAUUCUUCUCGAAAUUCUUCGUGUAAUUAUCAUAUUGGGAGGCACAAUUUCAACAACAUCACCAUCAUCAUCAUCAUCAUGAAUGUACUCGUCUUCGAAAAAGUUGUAUUUAUUUUCAUUGAACAAUGAAGCUUUGUUCAUGGGUAUGGAAUUUGUGUCUUGCUUCAUGAUUACUUUCUAUAUCAUGGAUACCUUGUUGUCUUAACGACGAAUUGGAAAGUCAUAUUUAUCUUCCA